UGACUGAUCAUCAUGGUGUCGUCAGAAUACAUUAAGAAAAAUUUGACGUGAAAGAAAGGAGUCUCCAAAAGGCCUAAUCAAUGCUGACAAACACAUGGGGGAAGUUCUCUGCUUCCUGAGACUGGCAUCAGAUAAGGGAUCAUCUCCAAGUUCCAGGAAGAGGAUCAGCUGCACUACAUAGCAAGUUCAAGGCCUGACUGAGCCAAAGGAAGAAAAACGGUUGACCGGAAGAGAAUACAGCCAUGAUUCGGACAAGACAGAUUCACAAGAGUAGGUAUAGAGUUAUGUGGGGAGAGAAGGAGACAGACAGACAGACAGACAGACAGACAGACAGACAGACAGAGCAGAAAACUACUGGGAGACAAAGAUGAAGGAAGAGACUUCACAAGAGUCAGAAAAUGCACACUAACUGUGAAAAGCCCUAGUAAUGUUUACAGCUGUCUUCCCAACAAUAAUAAAAACCAGAAGGCAACUGAG